rnacentral:rRNA from 1 species
GAUGAACGCUAGCGGCAGGCCUAACACAUGCAAGUCGAGGGGUAGCAGGAUUAAGCUUGCUUAAUUGCUGACGACCGGCGCACGGGUGCGUAACGCAUAUGCAACCUACCUUAUACUGGGGUAUAGCCCGGAGAAAUUCGGAUUAAUCCCCCAUAGUACUAAUGAAUCGCAUGGUUUAUUAGUUAAAGCAUUGCGGUAUAAGAUGGGCAUGCGUCCUAUUAGCUAGAUGGUGAGGUAACGGCUCACCAUGGCUACGAUAGGUAGGGGGCCUGAGAGGGUGGUCCCCCACACGGGUACUGAGACACGGACCAGACUCCUACGGGAGGCAGCAGUGAGGAAUAUUGGUCAAUGGGCGCAAGCCUGAACCAGCCAUGCCGCGUGCAGGAAGAAUGCCCUAUGGGUUGUAAACUGCUUUUAUUUGGGAAUAAACCUCUUUACGUGUAGAGAGCUGAAGGUACCAAAUGAAUAAGCACCGGCUAACUCCGUGCCAGCCGCCGCAGUAA